AUAGUUUGAUCCUGGCUNAGGACGAACGCUGGCGGCGUGCUUAACACAUGCNAGUCGUACGAGACGAUUGAAAGCUUGCUUUUGAAAGUCGAGUGGCAAACGGGUGAGUAACGCGUAGACAACCUGCCUUAAAGAUGGGGACGACAGUCCGAAAGGACUGCUAAUACCGAAUGUUGUGGAACUUCCGCAUGGGGGCUCCACUAAAGAUGGCCUCUACUUGUAAGCUAUCGCUUUACGAUGGGUCUGCGUCUGAUUAGCUAGUUGGUGGGGUAACGGCUUACCAAGGCGACGAUCAGUAGCCGGUCUGAGAGGAUGAACGGCCACAUUGGAACUGAGACACGGUCCAGACUCCUACGGGAGGCAGCAGUGGGGAAUCUUCCGCUUGGGCGCAUGCCUGACGGANCAACGCCUCGUGAGUGUAGAAGGGUUUUCGACUCUUAAAGCUCUGUUGUCGGGGACGAAUGUGUAGAUGGUGAAUUACCAUUUUUCAAUGUCGGUACCUUGACUAAGGAAG
rnacentral:rRNA from 1 species